CGGCAUGCCUAACACAUGCAAGUCGAACGGGGUAGCAAUACCCUAGUGGCGAACGGGUGAGUAACACAUAAGCAAUCUGCCCUUCACAGGGGGAUAACAGCGGGAAACUGCUGCUAAUACCGCAUAAGGACCACGGUACCGCAUGGUACAGGGGUAAAAAACAUCAGUGGUGAAGGAUGAGCUUAUGUCCCAUUAGCUAGUUGGUGAGAUAACAGCCCCACCAAGGCGACGAUGGGUAGCCGACCUGAGAGGGUGAUCGGCCACACUGGAACUGAGACACGGUCCAGACUCCUACGGGAGGCAGCAGUGGGGAAUAUUGGGCAAUGGAAGGAAACUCUUACCCAGCAAUGCCGCGUGAGUGAAGAAGGUCUUCGGAUUGUAAAGCUCUUUGAUUGGGGACGAAGAAAGUGACGGUACCCAAAGAACAAGCCCCGGCUAACUACGUGCCAGCCGCCGC
rnacentral:rRNA from 1 species